AGAUCAAAUCAUCGAAAUCAAUGGGGAGAGCACAAGGGACAUGACACACGCCAGAGCAAUAGAACUCAUCAAGUCGGGAGGAAGAAGGGUCCGUCUCCUGCUGAAACGUGGGACGGGGCAGGUCCCGGAGUAUGGAAUGGUACCUUCCAGUCUCUCCAUGUGCAUGAAAAGUGACAAGCAUGGGUCCCCAUAUUUCUACUUAUUGGGCCACCCUAAAGACACGACGAACCCAGCUCCUGGAGUUCUCCCGCUGCCGCCUCCCCAGGUCUGCCGGAAGUAGGCGUCUCCCUCGAAGACGUCCUCUCUCCAUUCUCUCCAUCACAUCCAGCCCCACCCUCCGACCCUUCCCACCAGAUAGGCCCAGACCCAACUUGGGAUAUCAAAAGGGAACACGACGUUAGGAAACCAAAGGAGCUUUCAGCCGGCGGCCAGAAGAAGCAGCGCCUCGGGGAGCAGAGGGAGCGCUCGGCGAGCCCGCAGAGGGCCGCCCGGCCGAGGCUCGAGGAGGCACCCGGCGGCCAGGGGCGGC